rnacentral:lncRNA from 1 species
GGGGGAGUAUUAUCUUAGGGGGAGAACAUGAAACACAACUUUUUAAUUAUGAUCAAAAAGGGGGAGAAAAUAUCUUAAAGCUUAUUGUUAUUCACUAAUGCCCUUGUCUUUCAUGAGUUGUGUUUUUACUCAGAUUAUUACUAAAAGCUUUAGUUCAAAGGAGUUUUUGAUCAUCAUAAAAAAGGGGGAGAAUGUUAGCAAAAUGAUGAAGAUGAAGUUUUGAUGAUGUCCAAAUCAAGUCAAGAUAUAUCAAAAUUCAUGAAGAUCCUUUAAAGACUUAUUUUUGUUAUUAAAAGUUUUUGUAAUAAUUGCAGUUUGAUGUUUAGGACUUAGAUUUGUAGUAGGUUUU